rnacentral:rRNA from 1 species
UGGGGAAUUUUGGACAAUGGGGGAAACCCUGAUCCAGCCAUCCCGCGUGUGCGAUGAAGGCCUUCGGGUUGUAAAGCACUUUUGGCAGGAAAGAAACGUCAUGGGUUAAUACCCCGUGAAACUGACGGUACCUGCAGAAUAAGCACCGGCUAACUACGUGCCAGCAGCCGCGGUAAUACGUAGGGUGCAAGCGUUAAUCGGAAUUACUGGGCGUAAAGCGUGCGCAGGCGGUUCGGAAAGAAAGAUGUGAAAUCCCAGAGCUCAACUUUGGAACGGCAUUUUUAACUACCGGGCUAGAGUGUGGCAGAGGGAGGUGGAAUUCCGCGUGGAGCAGUGAAAUGCGUAGAUAUGCGGAGGAACACCGAGGGCGAAGGCAGCCUCCUGGGAUAACACUGACGCUCAUGCACGAAAGCGUGGGGAGCAAACAGG